UACGGGGGGAGCAAGCGUUGUUCGGAUUUACUGGGCGUAAAGGGCGCGUAGGCGGCCAGCACAAGUCAGUUGUGAAAUCUCCGAGCUUAACUCGGAACGGUCAACUGAUACUGUGCGGCUAGAGUGCGGAAGGGGCAACUGGAAUUCUUGGUGUAGCGGUGAAAUGCGCAGAUAUCAGGAGGAACACCGGUGGCGAAGGCGGGUCUCUGGACCGUAACUGACGCUGAGGAGCGAAAGCGUGGGGAGCGAACAGG
rnacentral:rRNA from 1 species